rnacentral:rRNA from 1 species
AGUGGCGAACGGGUGAGUAACACGUGGGUGAUCUGCCCUGCACUUUGGGAUAAGCCUGGGAAACUGGGUCUAAUACCGAAUAUUUCCUUUUGGUCGCAUGGCUGGGAGGGGAAAGCUUUUGCGGUGUGGGAUGGGCCCGCGGCCUAUCAGCUUGUUGGUGAGGUUAUGGCUUACCAAGGCGACGACGGGUAGCCGGACUGAGAGGGUGACCGGCCACACUGGGACUGAGAUACGGCCCAGACUCCUACGGGAGGCAGCAGUGGGGAAUAUUGCACAAUGGGCGCAAGCCUGAUGCAGCGACGCCGCGUGGGGGAUGACGGCCUUCGGGUUGUAAACCUCUUUCAAUAGGGACGAAGCGCAAGUGACGGUACCUAUAGAAGAAGGACCGGCCAACUACGUGCCAGCAGCCGCGGUAAUACGUAGGGUCCGAGCGUUGUCCGGAAUUACUGGGCGUAAAGAGCUCGUAGGUGGUGUGUCGCGUCGUCCGUGAAAACUCACAGCUUAACUGUGGGCGUGCGGGCGAUACGGGCAGACUCGAGUACUGCAGGGGAGACUGGAAUUCCUGGUGUAGCGGUGGAAUGCGCAGAUAUCAGGAGGAACACCGGUGGCGAAGGCGGGUCUCUGGGCAGUAACUGACGCUGAGGAGCGAAAGCGUGGGGAGCGAACAGGAUUAGAUACCCUGGUAGUCCACGCCGUAACGGUGGGUACUAGGUGUGGGUUUCCUUCCUU